AGCAGCCGCGGUAAUUCCAGCUCCAAUAGCGUAUAUUAAAGUUGUUGCAGUUAAAAAGCUCGUAGUUGAAUUUCGGGAUCAAUAUAUCGGUCGUGCCUUGGUACGUACUGGUAUCAUUGGUUUCUCCUUUCUGACGAACCAUGAUGUCAUUAAUUUGGUGUUAUGGGAAGUUAGGACUGUUACUUUGAAAAAUUAGAGUGUUUAAAGCAGGCUUUGGCUUGAAUACAUUAGCAUGGAAUAAUGAAAUAGGACGUUCGAACCUAUUUUGUUGGUUUCUAGGAUCAACGUAAUGAUUAAUAGGGAUAGUUGGGGGCAUUAGUAUUCAAUUGUCAGAGGUGAAAUUCUUGGAUUUAUUGAAGACUAACUACUGCGAAAGCAUUUGCCAAGGAUGUUUUCAUUAAUCAAGAACGAAAGUUAGGGGAUCGAAGACGAUCAGAUACCGUCGUAGUCUUAACCAUAAACUAUGCCGACUAGGGAUCGGAUGAUGUUAAUUUUUAAUGUACUCAUUCGGCGCCUUACG
rnacentral:rRNA from 1 species